rnacentral:rRNA from 1 species
CCUACGGGUGGCAGCAGUGGGGAAUAUUGGGCAAUGGGCGCAAGCCUGACCCAGCAACGCCGCGUGAAGGAAGAAGGCCCUCGGGUUGUAAACUUCUUUUAUUAAGGACGAAACAAAUGACGGUACUUGAUGAAUACGCCACGGUUAACUACGUGCAGGCAGCCGCGGUAAUACGUAGGUGGCAACGGUUUCCGGAUUUACUGGGGGUAAAGGGCGUGUAGGCGGGACGGCAAGUCAGAUGUGAAAACCAUGGGCUCAACCCAUGGCCUGCAUUUGAUACUGUAGGUCUUGAGUGUUGGAGAGGCAGGCGGAAUUCGUUGUGUAGCGGUGAAAUGCGUAGAUAUACGGAGGAACACCAGUGGCGAAGGCGGCCUGCUGGACAGUAACUGACGCUGAGGCGCGAAAGCGUGGGGAGCAAACAGGAUUAGAUACCCUAGUAGUC